rnacentral:rRNA from 1 species
CCUACGGGACGCAGCAGUGGGGGAUAUUGCACAAUGGGGGAAACCCUGAUGCAGCGACGCCGCGUGGGUGAAGAAGCGCCUCGGCGCGUAAAGCCCUGUCAGCAGGGAAGAAAAUGACGGUACCUGAAGAAGAAGCCCCGGCUAACUACGUGCCAGCAGCCGCGGUAAUACGUAGGGGGCAAGCGUUAUCCGGAUUUACUGGGUGUAAAGGGGGCGCAGACGGCGAUGCAAGCCAGGAGUGGAAGCCCGGGGCCCAACCCCGGGCCUGCUCUUGGACCUGCGUGGCUAGAGUGCGGGAGGGGCAG